rnacentral:rRNA from 1 species
GAUGAACGCUGGCGGCGUGCCUAAUACAUGCAAGUCGAGCGAACAGACGAGGAGCUUGCUCCUCUGACGUUAGCGGCGGACGGGUGAGUAACACGUGGAUAACCUACUUAUAAGACUGGGAUAACUUCGGGAAACCGGAGCUAAUACCGGAUAAUAUAUUGAACCGCAUGGUUCAAUAGUGAAAGACGGCUUUGCUGUAACUUCUAGAUGGAUCCGCGCCGCAUUAGCUAGUUGGUAAGGUAACGGCUUACCAAGGCAACGAUGCGUAGCCGACCUGAGAGGGUGAUCGCCCACACUGGAACGUAGACACGGUCCAGACUCCUACGGGAGGCAGCAGUAGGGAAUCGUCCGCAGUGGGCGAAAGCCUGACGGAGCAACGCCGCGUGAGUGAUGAAGGUCUUCGGAUCGUAAAACUCUGUUAUGAGGGAAGAACAAAUGUGUAAGUAACUAUGCACGUCUUGACGGUACCUAAUCAGAAAGCCACGGCUAACUACGUG